GUCGUGAGAUGUUGGGUUAAGUCCCGCAACGAGCGCAACCCUCGUCCUAUGUUGCCAGCGGGUAAUGCCGGGAACUCAUGGGAGACUGCCGGGGUCAACUCGGAGGAAGGUGGGGAUGACGUCAAGUCAGCAUGCCCCUUAUGUCUUGGGCUGCAAACAUGCUACAAUGGCCGGUACAAAGGGCUGCGAUACCGCAAGGUGGAGCGAAUCCCGGAAAGCCGGUCUCAGUUCGGAUCGGGGUCUGCAACUCGACCCCGUGAAGUCGGAGUCGCUAGUAAUCGCGAAUCAGCAACGUCGCGGUGAAUACGUUCCCGGGCCUUGUACACACCGCCCGUCACGUCACGAAAGUUGGCAACACCCGAAGCCGGUGGCCUAACCCGUAAGGAGGCAGCCGUCAAAGGUCAAUUCAGUGACUGGGGCGAAGUCGUAACAAGGUAGCCGUAGGGGAACCUGCGGCUGGAUCACCUCCUUUCUGGAGAUCUCGAGUAAGCCCCUUCUUCGGAAGGCGCGGAAAGAGUCUCGGAAGUCGCCCGCACUCUCUCAUUUCCAGCUCGCUUUACUUUUCUUGCUCUUUGACAACCGAGGGAUGGAUGAUGUGUGUUCGGGCCGCAAGGCUCGAACGGGUGUGAGGAAUCAACACCGAUUGCGCAGUCCUAUCGCAUGGACGGCGCAAUUAUCGAAUUUGAGAUCAAACGCAAUAAGGCACACGGUGGAUGCCUUGGCAUCGAGAGGCGAUGAAGGGCGUGAUAAGCUGCGAUAAGCCUGGGGGAGCUGCACAUGAGCCGUGAUCCCAGGAUGC
rnacentral:sRNA from 1 species